rnacentral:lncRNA from 13 species
GAGACCUUGGAGAAGCUUGGUAAAUGGCUCUGAGACUAAGGAGAAACUAUAUGCUCUGCAAUUCUGAAGCUGCUCUUGUCAGACGCCCAUAGGAAACUGUGUCAACAAUACCCUGGAGAUGUGCAAAGAAGCUGCUCUGAGAGGGGUCCCCAAAAGGCUUCCUAGAAGAUGAGACACUUGGGC